ACUAGUUGGUAGACACGUUCGCUGCCCAAAAUGAGUUUACAAUCCAGGGGGGAGACAGACGUUACUAUUAAUAACUAAUUGAUAAUAUAUAAUCGUACACCAUUUUUGCAUGAUUGCCUCCACUGCAUAAUUUUUCCACCCCGAUUUGUGAGGAUGAAAUGCUAGAUUAUUUUUAUACGCACGUUGUACGCAGCGAUAGUAUGCACUGGGGAAAGAAGAAAAGGAUCGGAAGGUGGUUUCGGUUAUGUAUCCUACUCUCCCAAGCACUUAGUACAAUGUUCUGCCCGCAGUAAGUGCUCAAUAAAUACCAUCGAUGGAUUACAGUGGAACCAGCUCGAGCCAGGGGAUGGAGAAUUUCUUAUUUGAAACGGGUGUGCUCCAGGAGAGGAUAUACUUUGAGGAAGACAAGAAUAGGGAUUGGGUACCAUAAUUCACUGAGUGUACACGGAAUGCCACACUUGAGAGAAUGUAAUAGAGAGACCUGGAGAGGAGUACAUACAUUGACCCAGCCCCACGAGUUGUCUCUGAGACACCGCUUCAGCACAGAGUGGCAGGAGCAGAAGGUGAGAGAAACGUCAGCAAAUCAUCUGCAAAAGACAAGAUUCUGAUUCUUUGUGGCUGGCAAGAGGAGAAUCCAAGAAUACCAAAAUGAGUCAUAAAAAGUUAAAGGUGAGUUUGAGAGAAGAGGAAUUCAACCGAGUAGAGCCGCAGUAGCAUAAAAACAGGAAAGAGCAUUUCUUUGGCCUCGUAAAGAGAAAUACUCUCAAAAAAUCUCUAGUGUAUUGGUACAACAGGGAAUGAAAUACUAUUCGCGGUUGCAUAACCCUUCCUGGGUGUUGUGCAUUUCAACCGUGACUGAAAAAAAGUAAGCAGAACUAAAGCUAGUUACACUACGGGCCGAUCAUUCUUUAUUAGAAUGGCUACUAAGCUGGUUUUAUAUCGUACAGUCCAGUUUUUUAAGGGUAUUUGUUAAGCACUUACUCUGCAUCAAGCAAUAUCCCAAGGGCUGGGGUAGAUAGAGAUUAAUCAGGUUGUACACAUCCUGUCCCUCAUGGGACUCAGAGUCUAAGUAGGACGGAGUAGGAUUUAAUCCCCAUUUUAUAGAUGAGGAAGCCAGGGUCACAGAC
rnacentral:lncRNA from 1 species